rnacentral:rRNA from 1 species
AUUGAACGCUGGCGGCAUGCCUUACACAUGCAAGUCGAACGGUAACAGGUCUUCGGAUGCUGACGAGUGGCGAACGGGUGAGUAAUACAUCGGAACGUGCCCGAUCGUGGGGGAUAACGAAGCGAAAGCUUUGCUAAUACCGCAUACGAUCUACGGAUGAAAGCAGGGGACCGCAAGGCCUUGCGCGAACGGAGCGGCCGAUGGCAGAUUGGGUAGUUGGUGGGAUAAAAGCUUACCAAGCCGACGAUCUGUAGCUGGUCUGAGAGGACGACCAGCCACACUGGGACUGAGACACGGACCAGACUCCUACGGGAGGCAGCAGUGGGGAAUGGUGGACAAUGGGCGAAAGCCUGAUCCAGCCAUGCCGCGUGCAGGAUGAAGGCGUUCGGGUUGUAAACUGCUUUUGUACGGAACGAAAAGACUCUGGUUAAUACCUGGGGUCCAUGACGGUACCGGAAGAAUAAGCACCGGCUAACUACGUG